rnacentral:rRNA from 1 species
CGGCGUACGGGUGCGUAACACGUGUGCAACCUGCCUUUAUCCGGGGGAUAGCCUUUCGAAAGGAAGAUUAAUACUCCAUAAUAUAUUGAACGGCAUCGUUUAAUAUUGAAAGCUCCGGCGGAUAGAGAUGGGCACGCGCAAGAUUAGCUAGUUGGUGAGGUAACGGCUCACCAAGGCGAUGAUCUUUAGGGGGCCUGAGAGGGUGAUCCCCCACACUGGUACUGAGACACGGACCAG